rnacentral:misc_RNA from 1 species
AACCUAGCACACCUGCGGUGUGUACCUGCGGAGGGAUCAUUACCGAGUUUACAACUCCCAAACCCCUGUGAACAUACCUAUACGUUGCCUCGGCGGAUCAGCCCGCGCCCUGUAAAAAGGGACGGCCCGCCCGAGGACCCUAAACUCUGUUUUUAGUGGAACUUCUGAGUAAAACAAACAAAUAAAUCAAAACUUUUAGCAACGGAUCU